rnacentral:rRNA from 1 species
UACGUAGGGUGCAAGCGUUGUCCGGAAUUAUUGGGCGUAAAGAGCUCGUAGGCGGUUUGUUGCGUCGGCUGUGAAAUCCCGAGGCUCAACCUCGGGUCUGCAGUCGAUACGAGCAAACUAGAGUGUUGCAGGGGAGACUGGAAUUCCUGGUGUAGCGGUGAAAUGCGCAGAUAUCAGGAAGAACACCAAUGGCGAAAGCAGCUCUCUGGGACGGUACUGACGCUGAGACGCGAAAGCGUGGGGAGCGAACAGG